CAGUAGGGUGCCAUCAAGAGGUGUAUUUGGAAAUA
rnacentral:rRNA from 1 species